AAGGAUUUAAGUUAACUUAAACUAAUAGCCUUCAAAGUUGCAAAUAAAGAUUCCCUUUAAGCCUUA
rnacentral:tRNA from 1 species